rnacentral:tRNA from 2 species
GCGGGAAUAGCUCAGUUGGUAGAGCACGACCUUGCCAAGGUCGGGGUCGCGAGUUCGAGUCUCUUUUCCCGCUCCA